GAUGAACGCUGGCGGCGUGCUUAACACAUGCAGGUCGAACGAUGAAAUGGAGCUUGCUCCAUGGAUUAGUGGCGAACGGGUGAGUAACACGUGAAUAACCUGCCCUUAAUUUUGGAAUAACCCAGGGAAACCUGGGCUAAUACCGGAUAAGUAAACCUGUGGCAUCACAUGGUUUUGGAAAGUUUUUCGAUUAAGGAUGGAUUCGCGGCCUAUCAGCUUGUUGGUGAGGUAAUGGCUCACCAAGGCGACGACGGGUAGCCGGCCUGAGAGGGUGAACGGCCACACUGGGACUGAGACACGGCCCAGACUCCUACGGGAGGCAGCAGUGGGGAAUAUUGCGCAAUGGACGAAAGUCUGACGCAGCGACGCCUCGUGAGGGACGAAGGUCUUCGGAUUGUAAACCUCUUUCAGCAGGGACGAAGCGAAAGUGACGGUACCUGCAGAAGAAGCACCGGCUAACUAUGUGCCAGCAGCCGCCGUAA
rnacentral:rRNA from 1 species